rnacentral:snRNA from 1 species
AUCAGUUUAAUAUCUGAUACGUGGUUCAUAGAACCACAUGAUAUUAAAUGUAUUUUUCUAGGGGGAGGGCCCACUCACAAUAGCUUGCUAUUGGGGCUCUCGGGUGUCUUUCUAGGGGGAGGGCCCACUCACA